UACGUAGGGGGCAAGCGUUGUCCGGAUUUAUUGGGCGUAAAGAGCGUGUAGGCGGCUUUACAGGUCCGUUGUGAAAACUCGAGGCUCAACCUCGAGACGCCGGUGGAAACCGUAAGGCUAGAGUCCGGAAGAGGAGAGUGGAAUUCCUGGUGUAGCGGUGAAAUGCGCAGAUAUCGGGAAGAACACCAGUGGCGAAGGCGGCUCACUGGCCCGGUACUGACGCUGAGGUGCGAAAGCGUGGGGAGCAAACAGG
rnacentral:rRNA from 1 species